UACAGAGGUCUCAAGCGUUGUUCGGAUUCAUUGGGCGUAAAGGGUGCGUAGGCGGCGCGGUAAGUCGGGUGUGAAAUCUCGGAGCUUAACUCCGAAACUGCAUUCGAUACUGCCGUGCUUGAGGACUGGAGAGGAGACUGGAAUUUACGGUGUAGCAGUGAAAUGCGUAGAGAUCGUAAGGAAGACCAGUGGCGAAGGCGGGUCUCUGGACAGUUCCUGACACUGAGGCACGAAGGCCAGGGGAGCAAAGCGGG
rnacentral:rRNA from 1 species